AACCUUACCUGGAAGGGGAGACAUCAUGAUCAAGAAGGCAGUUCACCAGGGCGAGGCUCGUCCAUUGCACUCCGGCCGCGCUGACCCAUGCGAAAUGUGGGAAUCUUGACUGCAUAAUUUAUGGAAGUGGGGGACUGCGUUCGCGCUCUACCCUG
ensembl:snRNA U1 U1 spliceosomal RNA